rnacentral:rRNA from 1 species
UACGUAGGGUGCGAGCGUUGUCCGGAAUUACUGGGCGUAAAGAGCUCGUAGGUGGUUUGUCGCGUUGUUCGUGAAAACCGGGGGCUUAACCCUCGGCGUGCGGGCGAUACGGGCAGACUGGAGUACUGCAGGGGAGACUGGAAUUCCUGGUGUAGCGGUGGAAUGCGCAGAUAUCAGGAGGAACACCGGUGGCGAAGGCGGGUCUCUGGGCCGUUACUGACGCUGAGGAGCGAAAGCGUGGGGAGCGAACAGG